AUUGAACGCUGGCGAUAGGCUUAACACAUGCAAGUCGAGGGGCAGCAUAUUCGAAGCUUGCUUUGAAUGAUGGCGACCGGCGCACGGGUGCGUAACGCGUAUGUAACCUGCCUGUCAGAAGGGAAUAACCCGGUGAAAGUCGGACUAAUACCCUAUAUGCUCACGAGAGGCUCCUGCCUUGGCGAGGAAAGAUUUAUCACUGACAGAUGGACAUGCGUCCCAUUAGCUGGUUGGUGGGGUAACGGCCUACCAAGGCAACGAUGGGUGGGGGAACUGAGAGGUUUAUCCCCCACAUUGGUACUGAGACACGGACCAA
rnacentral:rRNA from 1 species